CCUACGGGAGACUGCAGUGGGGAAUAUUGGACAAUGGGGGGAACCCUGAUCCAGCGACGCCGCGUGAGUGAAGAAGUAUUUCGGUAUGUAAAGCUCUAUCAGCAGGGAAGAAAAUGACGGUACCUGACUAAGAAGCCCCGGCUAACUACGUGCCAGCAGCCGCGGUAAUACGUAGGGGGCAAGCGUUAUCCGGAUUUACUGGGUGUAAAGGGAGCGUAGACGGUGCAGCAAGUCUGAUGUGAAAGGUCGGGGCCCAACCCCGGGACUGCAUUGGAAACUGUUGAACUGGAGUACAGGAGAGGUAAGCGGAAUUCCUAGUGUAGCGGUGAAAUGCGUAGAUAUCAGGAGGAGCACCGGCGGCGAAGGCGGCCUGCUGGACCGCGACUGACGUUGAGGCUCGAAAGCGUGGGGAGCGAACAGGAUUAGAUACCCGGGUAGUC
rnacentral:rRNA from 1 species